GGAUGAGGAUGAGGCAGUGCCACCCACCCCCCGGGCACACUGCAAGCAAGAUGGCAGGCAGGCUAGGAGAAGAGGAUGUGUUUGCUAUUUGUUUGAGCUCAGGUGGCUGCAGUUUAACUACCGGACUGGGCACUUGCUGAAACAGGAACCAGGAAGUGAAAGUGGGUGGCACGCCUACUGAAAACCAGGGAACAGCAAAACCUCACGAAGGAAUACCUGCAGUUUUGUGGGUGGUUCUUGGGACCUGGCAGGUCCUAGGAAGGAAAGUAGAACAAGGAAGCAUCUGAGAGGGCUGAACAGAAGAUAAAACAGAACAUCAGAAAGGAGGCUACAGACGACC